rnacentral:lncRNA from 1 species
UUAGCAGACUAAAAUACAAAAUUCAUCGCCAUCUAUGAUUCACAUUUACAACUACUGAUAUGGAACAAUAAGUCUUCGUUACGCAAGCUAGCCGCCAUUUUUUUUCGAGCACUGAUUGAAAGCGUACGUUAUCCGUAUCCGUACGGCGUAUUUUCCUUCCUCACAUUUUUCUUCAUAAAAAUGCUGAUCAUGUGGCCUGAGCAGAACCUGAGCAUCUGUACAUUUUGCCAAGAUGUCGUCUCUUUUUCCUGUACCGGCUGUUUGUAAGAAUCACUUCAGAACAAAUCAGUCUGGGAAAGUCUGAGCUUCGUCGUUGCUGCCAAUGUACACAUGGAUUUAAUGCAGCCAGGUGUUCCUCUUGCUACCUGUACUGCUGUGUGUUUCGUCAAAUGAAGAAACAUGAACAACUGAAGUUUAUCGUGUUUGUUCGCGUUGUUGCUGUCCGCUGUGGUACGUUGUUUCAGCCUCUGCUGGUGAUAGAUCUUUCUGCAUCAAAUUCAGUUAGCCGUUCCUUGGUGCUGGACUGCUGGUGUCGUGGUACCGAAAUCGCAUCAUUAUUUUGUUAAAUUGUCAUCGUGACUGCAGUUUACCGUUAAUAAGUUAAGAAGCAACAAAAACAAAUAUGGGAUGUUUAUGUCAACAAAUAAUAAACAUGUUUUCGGGAUUGGGAAAGGAAAGUGGAGAAUGUUGGAGAGGGGGAGGAUAUUUCAAGUUUGGAUAAAAAAUCAGUUAAUCUAUAACCCUACAAAUGUUGCCCUACCAAUUAAUCUCCAAACCCCACAAACAUAUACCUUCCAAUCCUUCAAACCCCGAAAACAUACACCACUAACCCUUAAAUUUAUACCCUUAACCCUAUAAACCAAUGUUAAACCUUAACCAUGUAAUAUCUGUAAUAAAUAAAAAUAAAUAUAUUAUAUGAA